CAAUGUAACGGGGCUAAAACACACCACCGAAGCCGCGGAUGCCGCAUUGCCUACGGGUAAUGGGGUGUGGUAGCAGAGCGUCGAUCUUGCUGUGAAGCAGCUGCGGAAGCAGUUGUGGAGCGUGGUCGAGUGCGAAUGUAGGCAUGAGUAGCGAGAGAGGGGUGAGAAACCCUUCCACCGAAAGCCCAAGGGUUCCUGGGGAAGGCUAUUCCUCCCAGGGUGAGUCGGGACCUAAGGCGAGGCCGAAAGGCGUAGUCGAUGGAUAACUGGUUGAUAUUCCAGUACCGCUGAGAGCGCGUCCAGGCUUAACCGAAGUUGCUAACUGGAUGUCCGGAUCCUUAGGGAGCCGGAAGGAAAGGACCCACUUUGGAGCGGCCAGCAAUGCAGGGACGAAGAAUGGUAGGUGAACCCAGGCGAUGGUUGUCCUGGGGUAAGUGCUUAGGCCGGGGCAUAGGUAAAUCCGUUCCCCGUUAAGGCUGAAACACGAUGCCGAGUCGAAUACGACGAAGUCAUUGAUCCACUACUUCCAAGAAAAUCUGCUAGCGAGCUCUCUUAGCGCCCGUACCCCAAACCAACACAGGUGGGCAGGUAGAGAAUACUAAGGUGUAUGAGAUAACCAUGGUUAAGGAACUCGGCAAAUUGCAUCCGUAACUUCGGGAUAAGGAUGACCUCAUGGGUUUAUAGCCUAAUGAGGUGGCACAAACUAGGGGGGAGCGACUGUUUACUAAAAACACAGCAGGGUGCUAAGUCGUAAGACGAUGUAUACCCUGUGACGCCUGCCCGGUGCUGGAAGGUUACGGGGACCGGUUAGCUGUAAAGCGAAGCUGUGAACCUAAGCCCCAGUAAACGGCGGCCGUAACUAUAACGGUCCUAAGGUAGCGAAAUUCCUUGUCGGGUAAGUUCCGACCUGCACGAAUGGCGUAACGACUCCCCUACUGUCUCAACCAUGGACUCAGCGAAAUUGAAGUACGAGUAAAGAUGCUCGUUAGCUACAGAAGGACGGAAAGACCCCGUGGACCUUUACUAUAGCUUGAUAUUGGUGUUUGAUUUGCGUUGUGUAGGAUAGGUGGGAGACUAGGAAGUCGGAGCGCUAGCUUCGGUGGAGUCAACCUUGAAAUACCACCCUGCGUACGUUGACCAUCUAACCUUGGACCGUGAUCCGGUUCGGGGACAGUGUCAGGUGGGUAGUUUGACUGGGGCGGUCGCCUCCUAAAGAGUAACGGAGGCGUUCAAAGGUUCCCUCAGACUGGUUGGCAAUCAGUCUUCGAGUGCAAUGGCAUAAGGGAGCUUGACUGCGAGACCUACAAGUCGAGCAGGUACGAAAGUAGGACAUAGUGAUCCGGCGGUUGCGUGUGGAAGCGCCGUCGCUCAACGGAUAAAAGGUACCCCGGGGAUAACAGGCUAAUCUUUCCCAAGAGUCCAUAUCGACGGAAAGGUUUGGCACCUCGAUGUCGGCUCAUCGCAUCCUGGGGCUGAAGCAGGUCCCAAGGGUUGGGCUGUUCGCCCAUUAAAGCGGUACGCGAGCUGGGUUCAGAACGUCGUGAGACAGUUCGGUCCCUAUCCUCCGCAGCCGAAGCUAUUUUGACAACUGCUAUCCUUAGUACGAGAGGACCGGGAUGGACGUAGCUCUAGUGUGUCUGUUGUUUCGCCAGAAGCAUCGCAGAUUUGCCACCUACGGAAGGGAUAACCGCUGAAAGCAUCUAAGUGGGAAACCCGGUUGAAGAUGAGAAUAGCCAUGCGGUUAACGCAGUAAGGCCCGUGACGAGACCAUCACGUUGAUAGGCCGGAAGUGUAAGCGUAGUAAUACGCUCAGCUGACCGGUACUAAUCGGCCGAGGGCUUGGUUAAACA
rnacentral:rRNA from 1 species